rnacentral:tRNA from 1 species
UUAAUUGAAGCCAAAAAGAGGCACCUUAAUGUUAAUAAGGAAAAUGUUAACAAAUAUCCAAUUAAA